AUUUGAUCAAUGACUGGUUGUCUUCUUGCAAGUGAUACUUUUAAUUGUAUUGAAGAUACCAUACUACCAUCCAUAUCAUUUAUUGCACGUUCAGCAGCUUCAGGUUUAUCAAAGAAUUUAAUUGACAUGUGGAAUGCCCAAAUAGGCAAGACGUUUCAAACGUAUAUCAUCAGGAUCAGGUGUUGAUUGUGCAUUAGCACAUUCCAAGCUCAUUUGUAAUGCUCUUCUUAAUUCAUCAUCAUCAUUAUUAUCAUCUUGAACAUCAUACAUCAUUUUAGUUGCAGAUAUAUGCUUGCAUUAAUGAUGGAUCUUUUUGGGCAAUAAGUGCUGUUGGUUCAGUACUACUAUAUGGAAUUAAUUCAAGACCCAAUACUUUUAAG